rnacentral:rRNA from 1 species
UACAGAGGUCUCAAGCGUUGUUCGGAUUCAUUGGGCGUAAAGGGUGCGUAGGCGGCGCGGUAAGUCGGGUGUGAAAUCUUGGAGCUUAACUCCGAAAUUGCACCGGAUACUGCGUGACUCGAGGACUGUAGAGGAGAUCGGAAUUCACGGUGUAGCAGUGAAAUGCGUAGAUAUCGUGAGGAAGACCAGUUGCGAAGGCGGAUCUCUGGGCAGUUCCUGACACUGAGGCACGAAGGCCAGGGGAGCAAACGGG